rnacentral:tRNA from 1 species
GGAGAGGUGACCGAGUGGUCGAAGGUGCACGACUGGAAAUCGUGUGUGCGGCAACGCACCGUGGGUUCGAAUCCCACUCUCUCCG